rnacentral:rRNA from 1 species
GACGAACCGUGCGAACGUUGUUCGGAAUCACUGGGCUUAAAGGGCGCGUAGGCGGGCUGUCAAGUCUGGGGUGAAAUCCCACGGCUCAACUGUGAAACUGCCUCGGAUACUGACGGCCUCGAGGGGGGUAGGGGCGUGCGGAACUGUGGGUGGAGCGGUGAAAUGCGUUGAUAUCCACAGGAACUCCGGUGGCGAAGGCGGCACGCUGGACCUUCACUGACGCUGAGGCGCGAAAGCCAGGGGAGCAAACGGG